UGCUGCAGUUAAAAAGCUCGUAGUUGAAUUUCUGUCUGUAAGGAUCGAAACACCACUGUUGAGGUCUCUUCGGGCAUCUGUUUGCAAGCAUACGUUCGGCCUUCACUGGUUGGCUAUGUAAGCAAACGUUUUACCUUGAGAAAAUUAGAGUGUUCCAGGCAGGCUUCAGCCGGAAUACAUUAGCAUGGAAUAAUGGAAUAGGACUGGGAACUAUUCAUGGUUUGAGGGCCCAGUAAUGAUUAAUAGGAACAGUCGGGGGCAUUAGUACUUUACAGUCAGAGGUGAAAUUCUUGGAUUUGUAAAAGACUAACUAAUGCGAAAGCAUUGGCCAAGCAUGUUUUCAAUAAUCAAGAACGAAAGUUAGGGGAUCAAAGACGAUUAGAUACCGUCCUAGUCUUAACUGUAAACGAUUCCAUCUUAGAAUUGGGUGAAGAUAAUAUGAUUCAUCCAGCGCUAUAAGAGAAAUCAAAGUCUUUGGGUUCUUGGUGGAGUACGAUCGCAAGAUUGAAACUUAAAGGAAUUGACGGUUUUGCACACCAUGAAGUGGAGCCUGUGGCUUAAUUUGACUCAACACUGGGAAACUUAUCAGGACAAAAAAGUUUUAGGAUUGACAGAUUGAUAGCUCUUUCU
rnacentral:rRNA from 1 species